rnacentral:snoRNA from 1 species
AGGCGGUGAUGACAACAAAACAUUUCUCGAUGCUGAAACUUACUCGAGAGACCAAAAAUAACUCUUGUAAUGUUUCAUGAUGCUUAUUUUUUGUGCGUGUCUGAGCCUC